rnacentral:rRNA from 1 species
UACGUAGGGGGCGAGCGUUGUCCGGAAUCAUUGGGCGUAAAGCGCGCGUAGGCGGUUACUUAAGUCGGAUGUGAAAGCCCUCGGCUUAACUGAGGAAGUGCACCCGAAACUGAGUAGCUAGAGUACGAAAGAGGGUCGCGGAAUUCCCCAAGUAGAGGUGAAAUUCGUAGAUAUGGGGAGGAACACCGGUGGCGAAGGCGGCCACCUGGACGGUAACUGACGCUGAGACGCGAAAGCGUGGGAGCAAACAGG